rnacentral:rRNA from 1 species
CCUACGGGUGGCAGCAGUGGGGAAUAUUGCACAAUGGGGGAAACCCUGAUGCAGCGACGCCGCGUGAGCGAGGAAGUAUUUCGGUAUGUAAAGCUCUAUCAGCAGGGACGAAAAAAGACGGUACCUGACUAAGAAGCCCCGGCUAACUACGUGCCAGCAGCCGCGGUAAUACGUAGGGGGCAAGCGUUAUCCGGAUUUACUGGGUGUAAAGGGAGCGUAGACGGCAAGGCAAGCGAGAAGUGAAAGGGCAGGGCUCAACCCUGUACAUGCUUUUGAAACUGUGGUGCUGGAGUGCAGGAGAGGUAAGUGGAAUUCCUGGUGUAGCGGUGAAAUGCGUAGAUAUUAGGAGGAACACCAGUGGCGAAGGCGGCUUACUGAACUGUAACUGACGUUGAGGCUCGAAAGCGUGGGGAGCAAACAGGAUUAGAUACCCCAGUAGUC